rnacentral:rRNA from 1 species
GAUGAACGCUGGCGGCGUGCUUAACACAUGCAAGUCGAACGGUGAACACGGAGCUUGCUCUGUGGGAUCAGUGGCGAACGGGUGAGUAACACGUGAGCAACCUGCCCCUGACUCUGGGAUAAGCGCUGGAAACGGCGUCUAAUACUGGAUACGAGUAGCGGCCGCAUGGUCAGUUACUGGAAAGAUUUUUUGGUUGGGGAUGGGCUCGCGGCCUAUCAGCUUGUUGGUGAGGUAAUGGCUCACCAAGGCGUCGACGGGUAGCCGGCCUGAGAGGGUGACCGGCCACACUGGGGCUGAGACACGGCCCAGAGUCCUACGGGAGGCAGCAGUGGGGAAUAUUGCACAAUGGGCGAAAGCCUGAUGCAGCAACGCCGCGUGAGGGAUGACGGCCUUCGGGUUGUAAACCUCUUUUAGCAGGGAAGAAGCGAAAGUGACGGUACCUGCAGAAAAAGCGCCGGCUAACUACGUGCCAGCAGCCGCGGUAA